rnacentral:rRNA from 1 species
GCCAGACUCCUACGGGAGGCAGCAGUGAGGAAUAUUGGUCAAUGGGCGCGAGCCUGAACCAGCCAAGUAGCGUGAAGGAUGACUGCCCUACGGGUUGUAAACUUCUUUUAUAAAGGAAUAAAGUGAGGCACGUGUGCCUUUUUGUAUGUACUUUAUGAAUAAGGAUCGGCUAACUCCGUGCCAGCAGCCGCGGUAAUACGGAGGAUCCGAGCGUUAUCCGGAUUUAUUGGGUUUAAAGGGUGCGCAGGCGGGCUGUUAAGCCGGCGGUAAAAAUUCAGGGCUCAACCCUGUCGAGCCGUCGGAACUGGCAGUCUUGAGUGGGCGAGAAGUAUGCGGAAUGCGUGGUGUAGCGGUGAAAUGCAUAGAUAUCACGCAGAACGCCGAUUGCGAAGGCAGCAUACCGGCGCCCAACUGACGCUGAGGCACGAAAGCGUGGGGACCGAACAGGAUUAGAUACCCUCGUA